GAGUUUGAUCCUGGCUCAGGACGAACGCUGGCGGCGCGCCUAACACAUGCAAGUCGAACGGAGCUUAGAGAGCUUGCUUUUUAAGCUUAGUGGCGGACGGGUGAGUAACGCGUGGGUAACCUGCCUUAUACAGGGGGAUAACAGUCAGAAAUGGCUGCUAAUACCGCAUAAGCGCACAGAGCUGCAUGGCUCAGUGUGAAAAACUCCGGUGGUAUAAGAUGGACCCGCGUUGGAUUAGCUAGUUGGCAGGGUAACGGCCUACCAAGGCGACGAUCGGUAGCCGGACUGAGAGGUUGAACGGCCACAUUGGGACUGAGACACGGCCCAGACUCCUACGGGAGGCAGCAGUGGGGAAUAUUGGGCAAUGGGCGCAAGCCUGACCCAGCAACGCCGCGUGAAGGAAGAAGGUUUUCGGAUUGUAAACCUCUGUUCUUAGUGACGAUAAUGACGGUAGCUAAGGAGAAAGCUCCGGCUAACUACGUGCCAGCCGCCGCGGUAAUAC
rnacentral:rRNA from 1 species